rnacentral:sRNA from 20 species
ACUUAAUAUGGGCUUAAUUUCCCAAGGGGAAAACGGGGGAACCAAUUUAGGGGUGAAUCGUUUUAAACGUAGAGCAUGUUUCAGCUCGAACCCGUCAGCUAACCUCGUAAGCAUUGAAGCACAUGAGG